AUGAACGCUGGCGGCGUGCCUAAUACAUGCAAGUCGAGCGAACAGACGAGGAGCUUGCUCCUCUGACGUUAGCGGCGGACGGGUGAGUAACACGUGGAUAACCUACCUAUAAGACUGGGAUAACUUCGGGAAACCGGAGCUAAUACCGGAUAAUAUAUUGAACCGCAUGGUUCAAUAGUGAAAGACGGUCUUGCUGUCACUUAUAGAUGGAUCCGCGCCGCAUUAGCUAGUUGGUAAGGUAACGGCUUACCAAGGCAACGAUGCGUAGCCGACCUGAGAGGGGGAUCGGCCACACUGGAACUGAGACACGGUCCAGGCUCCUACGGGGGGCCGGAGGAGGGAAUCUUCCGCAAUGGGCGAAAGCCUGACGGAGCAACGCCGCGUGAGUGAUGAAGGUCUUCGGAUCGUAAAACUCUGUUAUUAGGGAAGAACAAAUGUGUAAGUAACUAUGCACGUCUUGACGGUACCUAAGCAGAAAGCCACGGCUAACUACGU
rnacentral:rRNA from 1 species